ACAAGCAGAGUAUACCUCUGCUCCAGGUGAGUAGGGAGCAUCUGCCACCGGCACCAUGACUCGGGCUGGAGCUCUCCUGCUGCUCUGCGCUGCCUCGCUCCUCAUCACAGGCGUAAAGUGUGAUGACAUCUGCCCAGCCUUGAGGAACAUGCUGACCGGUUCAUAUCGGGAAGCCAGGAGGUGUAUAUUGAACAAGUUGAAGUAUAACCAAAACUCUGAUGUACUGGAAACUGCCGAUAUCCUGAAGAGCUGUGUUGAUGAGAAGCUGACAGCGGAGGAUAAGCAGGAUGCUCUCAGUGCUCUGAAUAAGAUAUACUCAAGCUCUCUCUGCUGAUGGAACUGUCCCUGCCAGGAACCCAAGGAAGCCUCUUGCCUGAUCCCUAAGUUAUGUCAGCAACCUGCCACAUCCAGAACACCUGCAUCCUUCAAGAAACAAACUAAAGAGGCAGCAUGAUGUAAUGGUAAGAUCAGGGACCCUGGAGGAUUUCACGGUUCAAAA